AUUGAACGCUGGCGGCAUGCCUUACACAUGCAAGUCGAACGGCAGCACGGGUGCUUGCACCUGGUGGCGAGUGGCGAACGGGUGAGUAAUACAUCGGAACAUGUCCUGUAGUGGGGGAUAGCCCGGCGAAAGCCGGAUUAAUACCGCAUACGAUCUACGGAUGACAGCGGGGGACCUUCGGGCCUCGCGCUAUCGGGUUGGCCGAUGGCUGAUUAGCUAGUUGGUGGGGUAAAGGCCUACCAAGGCGACGAUCAGUAGCUGGUCUGAGAGGACGACCAGCCACACUGGGACUGAGACACGGCCCAGACUCCUACGGGAGGCAGCAGUGGGGAAUUUUGGACAAAGGGCGAAAGCCUGAUCCAGCAAUGCCGCGUGUGUGAAGAAGGCCUUCGGGUUGUAAAGCACUUUUGUCCGGAAAGAAAGCCUUGGCCCUAAUACGGUCGGGGGAUGACGGUACCGGAAGAAUAAGCACCGGCUAACUACGUG
rnacentral:rRNA from 1 species